GCCACCUUAGCUCAGCUGGUAGAGCACCGCUUUCGUAAAGCGGUUGUCGCCGGUUCGAGUCCGGCAGGUGGCU
rnacentral:tRNA from 1 species